rnacentral:tRNA from 1 species
GCGGCGAUGGUGAAAUUGGUAGACACGUUAGCUUGAGGGGCUAAUGGAAGUAAUUCCAUGAAGGUUCAAGUCCUUUUCGCCGCA